AUUUGAAACAGAUAUUUUGCCAGUUAUUUUCAUCUCGUUGGUCAAUGUCAUUUCAUGUCUAAUUCCACCCAAAGACCUUAGUCUUCGUACACAUUUCAUGAUCCUCAAUAUUCAUCAUCUUGCAAUUAAUUGACCUAGUGUCGUGUGUCAGGUAUUACAACAUGUAACAGCACCCUCAUUUCUGCGGUAUUCUUUCACAGUGAUAUCAAAAGCCAAAUGCCUAAUUCUGGCCUGCUGUCAACAGCUGAUGUGUUUCUAUUGACAAACUACAGGGUUACUUCUUGUCUGCUAGAUCAUCCUGCAAUAUACUGUAUAUACUCUAUACGUGUCUGUUACAGAUAAACCUUUGCAAGUUGGGUUGUUACUCUCAUAAUUGGUAUGCCGGACAAUUCAAGCAAGAAAGAUCAAGUUAUCAAGAAAGUUUAUACCAUCAAGAAAACAAUACCAUCAAUAAAGUUGAGGUCAUGAAAAGGAAUGUUGUUAAGAAUGAGUGUGUACAAAUAGAUAUUACCGCAUAACACGAGUAUUUGGGCCAAGUCUGCAGUGUUGCUGUUGCACCAUCAUUCGUCAUAUACUACAAGCAUGACAUUUGGUGGGUUCCGAUUGUGUCAAUACCCGUUGGUGUUGCCAUGGGCAUGUUCCUAUAUUUAAUAUGUAUACCCAAAUGCCAACAGUGGCUGGACAGGAAUGAGGUCA